GAUGGGUUCAUGACUUCUCUUUCUGAAACUUCUUCUUCUUCUCCUUCAACCCAAAAACCUUCAUAAAGCUAUUGCAAACUCUUUUGAAUCCACGGGGUUUCCCCUGGAUUGAUUUCCUUUCGGCUAAUAAACCGAGCUUCUCUCCCCUCCCUUUAUGUUGUGGAGAGUUUUUUCCCCCAGUUUUUUGCUAGGAUUUUGCUCUCUUGCCUUUUGGCAAGCUUUUGUCUUCCCCCAUUGCCUUUUAGGGGCUGUUUCUCAACCUUUUGGGCUGAUCUUGCUUGAUCUUGGUAGAUCUCCACCUUUGCCCUCUUGUUGUUUGUGCUAUUGAUUUUUAAGGGUUUGGUGGUUCUAAGACCUUUUCCAUGGAGAUGGAGUUGAUGGAUCUGGUGGGAUCUACUUCUUUGGUGUUGUGGGAUCGUGAGGGGUUGCUGGAGAUACUAUGACUUCCUUUAAAAGUCAAGGUGGAAUUAGAGUGCUCAAGGUCAAUGAAGUUUUGAUUUGGUUGUUUGUCAUCAGUUUCUUAUAUAACGCAAAUCUGGAGAUGCCGAAGACCAAGAGGAUGAGGGAGAUGUCGAAGACCAAGGUUGAUGAUGUGACCGCACGGGGAAAAUCCCAGAAACCGGAGAACAUUUCUUCAAGGGGCUCUCCCCACCACAGGAGAUCGCCUUACAAUGGCUACCGCUGCAACGAACGCCCUCCCUUCUUUGGAGUUGUUGGCCUAUGCUCCGCCGCCAAGGAGACUCACCCUCGCUCCCCAUCAGUAUAAGUACUGCUCAUUGGCUCUCAAAUUCUUCAAGGACAAGCUCCAGAUGCCUGAACAGAUCAAACAAGAGUGGGAUCAGUUAGAUGCCAUUUAUAUAACACAAUCUGAGGCGGAGAAGCGUUGCACUGUGGCUCUCAACAAAGUCAAUUUUAGCAAAAACCGUUAUGAUGACUACGUAGCGUUUGACGAAAAUAGGGUUGUUCUCAACUAUUCUGCAGCAGGAGACUACAUCAAUGCUAGCUUCAUCACAUCAUGUUCCUCUUCUUUUAUUGCAACACAAGGUCCACUUUCAGAGACCUUUGAGGAUUUUUGGGAGAUGGUAAUCCAGUACCGUUGCUCUGUAGUUGUCAUGCUUACUGACUUGGAUGAUAAUAAAUGUGGAGAUUAUUUUCAGGCAGAAGGUGAUGAUGGCCAUAGAGAAUUUGGGAAUAUAUCUAUAGCCACUAAGUUGAUAAGAAGUAGUGAAUUUGGAGAUGGAAAUUCAGUAGUGUUGCGCCUUUUGGAGGUGAAGAAGUAUAAGGUAGAGUCAGACUCAGAGGAAGCACCCAUGUCUGUUUUGCAUAUUCAGUAUCCUCAAUGGCCUGACCAUGGAGUUCCCGAAAACACAAUUGCUGUUCGUGAAAUUUUGAAAAGAGCAAUGUAUCAAGUAGCACCUGCCAUACCCGACUCUGGUCCAAUUGUGGUACACUGCAGUGCGGGUGUUGGGAGAACUGGAACAUACUGCACAAUUCAUGACACAUUGCAGAGAAUUAUUUCUGGGGACAAGUCUGCUUUAGAUUUAGUUAAUACAAUAACCAGAUUUAGGUCUCAGCGAGAUGGAAUGGUCCAGAAACCGGAGCAAUAUUGUUUUUGUUAUGAUGCCAUUAUUGAUGAAUUAGAAGACCUCAUCUCGGAUCCAGUUGAAUAGUGAAAUCAACAAAACUAAAGUACUUGCAUUUGACAAGAAGACGAGGCCCAAUGCUCCUACCUACACUGCUGUGUUAUGGGGCAAAGAGCUUGUGCAGGUGAUGAUGGGGGUUUCGUGCUGUUCUUUUUGGUUUUGAAUGUUGGCUUCUUCUUUUUUUCUACUCGUGGGAGUGAGUGAUGCAGGACAACAAAAGAAGAAAAAAAGAAAUUGAUUAA